rnacentral:rRNA from 1 species
AGAGUUUGAUCAUGGCUCAGGACGAACGCUGGCGGCGCGCUUAACACAUGCAAGUCGAGCGAGAACCAGUCCUUCGGGGCUGGGGAAAGCGGCGAACGGGUGAGUAACACGUGGGUAAUCUGCCCUCGGCACCGGAAUAGCCCGGGGAAACCCGGAUUAAUACCGGAUGGCCCAACAGCUCUUCGGGGCGGUUGGAAAAGGUAGCUUUGGCCUCCGGCCGAGGACGAGCUCGCGGCGGAUUAGCUUGUUGGUGGGGUAAUGGCCUACCAAGGCGACGAUCCGUAGCUGGUCUGAGAGGACGAUCAGCCACACUGGGACUGAGACACGGCCCAGACUCCUACGGGAGGCAGCAGUGGGGAAUCUUGCACAAUGGGCGAAAGCCUGAUGCAGCGACGCCGCGUGAGGGAAGAAGGCUUUCGGGUUGUAAACCUCUUUCAGGAGGGACGAAGCUACUCGGGUUAAUAGCCCAGAGGGUGACGGUACCUCCAGAAGAAGCCCCGGCUAACUACGUGCCAGCAGCCGCGGUAAUAC